rnacentral:lncRNA from 1 species
AAGAGUAUUAACGUUUGUAGAUUUUCUAAGCGUGUUAUGAGACUUUUGCGUUAAUUGAAGCGCAAGUGUCUUAAAAAGGAGCGACGCAUGUUGUAGUAAAAAUUUUCGAAAUCUCUAAAAAACUCGAUUACAAUAACGCAUAUUUUCCUAUGUGGGAGUAUACGAGUAUACGCACCCACUCCCCCCUUUUUAGAGAGGGGGAUAGC